rnacentral:miRNA from 1 species
UGUCCAGUAGCACCUUAGAGACCAACUAAGUUUGUUCUUGGUAUGCAUGCACACUUCUUCAGAUACAUGGACAUGCACACGAAAGCUCAUACCAAAAACAAACUUCAUUGGUCUCUAAGGUGCUACUGGACA